GGAGGGUGCAAGCGUUAUCCGGAUUCACUGGGGUUUAAAGGGUGCGUAGGCGGGUAUGUAAGUCAGUGGUGAAAUCCCCGAGCUUAACUCGGGAACUGCCAUUGAUACUAUAUAUCUUGAAUGUUCUGGAGGUAUGCGGAAUAUGUCAUGUAGCGGUGAAAUGCUUAGAGAUGACAUAGAACACCUAUUGCGAAGGCAGCAUACUACGGAAAUAUUGACGCUGAGGCACGAAAGUGUGGGGAUCAAACAGGAUUAGAUACCCUGGUAGUCCACACCGUAAACGAUGGAUACUCGACAUACGCGAUACACAGUGUGUGUCUGAGCGAAAGCAUUAAGUAUCCCACCUGGGAAGUACGACCGCAAGGUUG
rnacentral:rRNA from 1 species